CCUACGGGAGGCAGCAGUGAGGAAUAUUGGUCAAUGGGCGCGAGCCUGAACCAGCCAAGUAGCGUGAAGGAUGACUGCCCUACGGGUUGUACACUUCUUUUAUAAAGGAAUAAAGUGAGGCACGUGUGCCUUUUUGUAUGUACUUUAUGAAUAAGGAUCGGCUAACUCCGUGCCAGCAGCCGCGGUAAUACGGAGGGUGCGAGCGUUAAUCGGAAUUACUGGGCGUAAAGCGCUCGUAGGCGGUAUGUCAAGUCAAGGGUGAAAUCCCCGCGCUCAACGUGGGACCUGCCUUUGAAACUGGCAAACUUGAGUGGGUGAGAGGGAAGUGGAAUGCCAGGUGUAGGGGUGAAAUCCGUAGAUAUCUGGCGGAACAUCAGUUGCGAAGGCGACUAUCCGGCACAUAACUGACGCUGAGGAGCGAAAGCGUGGGUAGCGAACAGGAUUAGAUACCCUGGUAGUC
rnacentral:rRNA from 1 species